rnacentral:rRNA from 1 species
GACGAACGCUGGCGGCGUGCUUAACACAUGCAAGUCGAACGGAAAGGCCCUGCUUUUGUGGGGUGCUCGAGUGGCGAACGGGUGAGUAACACGUGAGUAACCUGCCCUUGACUUUGGGAUAACUUCAGGAAACUGGGGAUAAUACCGGAUAGGAGCUCCUGCUGCAUGGUGGGGGUUGGAAAGUUUCGGCGGUUGGGGAUGGACUGGCGGCUUAUGAGCUUGUUGGUGGGGUAGGGGCUUACCAAGGCUUUGACGGGUAGCCGGCCUGAGAGGGUGACCGGCCACAUUGGUACUACGAGACGGAGCAGACUCCUACGUUAGGCAGCAGUGGGGAGUAUUGCACAAUAAGGGGGAGCCUGAGGUGGCAACCCCGCGAUCGGGAUAACCUCCUACGGGGUAUAAACCGCUUUCGACUGUAACGAAGCGUGAGUGACGGUAAUUGGUAAAGAAGCACCGGCUAACUACGUG